rnacentral:rRNA from 1 species
UACGUAGGGGGCAAGCGUUAUCCGGAUUUACUGGGUGUAAAGGGAGCGUAGACGGCAUGGCAAGUCAGAUGUGAAAGCCCGGGGCUCAACCCCGGGACUGCAUUUGAAACUGUCAGGCUGGAGUGCAGGAGAGGUAAGCGGAAUUCCUAGUGUAGCGGUGAAAUGCGUAGAUAUUAGGAGGAACACCAGUGGCGAAGGCGGCUUACUGGACUGUAACUGACGUUGAGGCUUGAAAGCGUGGGGAGCAAACAGG